ACGGGGCUCCCGCUAUGACAGGCGAGCGCAAAGGAAUGGCAUCUAUGGUGUGCGCCAAGGUGCCAGAGAGUGGAGGCGAGGCUGUAAAAUUGCACUGUAUCAUCCACCAAGAAGCUCUCUGUGCCAAGACAGUCCAGCUUGGCGAUGUGAUGACCACAGUUGUGAAAACUGUCAACAUAAUUCGAGCACGAGGGCUCUACCACAGAGAAUUAAGCUUUCCUAUCUGAUGUCGAUGCUGAAUACGGGGACGUACUCUAUCAUUGUGACGUGCGCUGGCUUAGUUGCGGCUCCGUGCUGAAGCGGUUUUAUUCCCUUAUUGCCUUUCUAGUUGAUCUUACUGGUCAUCUGAACUCACUGAACAAGAGCCUACAAGGCAAAGACCAGCUUGUACCACAACUUUCUGUGCGAAGCUUCGUCUUUUUGAGACACAACUACGCAACUGCAACCUUGCGCACUUCCCUACGCUGUCCGAAAUCAAACGUGCUCAUCCAAAGGCCGACCUCUCUGCUAAAAAGGGGAAAUAUGUUUCUGUGAUCACAACUCUUAUGACACAAUUCAAUCAGCGCUUCCAAGAUGUUUCUGUCAUUGAGAAAGAAAUCAAGCUGUUCUCAACUCCCUUCCUGCUGGAUGCAGAAGAAGUGGAAGAGAGUCUGCAAUUAGAACUCAUCGAGAUGCAGCUCCUCUCCCUACCCGACUUCUACCGGAGCUUGGAAAAGGCCAAGUUUCCUCUGAUGCGACGCCACGCAAAAAGAAUGACCAGUCUGUUUGGCACAACAUACAUAUGCGAGCAAACAUUUUCUCUGUGAACUCUGAACAAAAGCAGAUUGAGAACCAAAAUGAGCGACAGCCAUCUCUGUGAUGUCCUUCACAUCUCAACCAGCAAACUUACUCGUGACCUGCCAGCCGUCCUUCAGUCCAGAGCAGCAUCACUGCUCCCAUUAAGUGCAACACUGUUCCCAUUGUAGGCGAGUUCAAAUAGAUUACACAGUAUUCAUGUGUUCAAAAGCCCAAUUACUUAAUAAAUGCAGUCAAUUAAAGUUGAUAACAUUUUCUAAAACACGUUAGCUGAUAAAUGAUUUGCAUAAGUAGGUUAAAUAAAGCCUUCCCUCUUUAUACAGGGCUGUGAAGGGGGUCCCCAUCCUGACGAAGAAGCAAUCUGAGGAUGAGCUGCCAACCCUUUUUGUAAAAAAAAUGAAAACCCAUUAAUGGAGAGAUGUGAUUUAUGCAGUUUUUUUUCUUUAAGUUUAUUCAAUUAUCAAGCAUAAUUUACCUACAUUUGAUUGAUUUUAUUUGAAAAUAGAUAAAUGAAAACCCAUACAUAGAAAGAUGUGAUGUAUGCAGUUUUUUCUGUCAGUAUAAUAAAUUAUCAAGCAUAAUUUACCUACAUUUGAUUGAUUGAUAUUACUGUUAAUACACUAGAGGUGAUAUACCUUAACUUUAGUGAGCGGCUCAACCUUUCGCAUAUUUUUCUGUUUCUGGCCCUCAGUGAAAAAAGUUUGGACCCCCCUGCUUUAAUACGUGGAACACUUCCUGCAUUUCGCUCUCGCUCGCCCCUCGCGUCCAGUAGUCGUAUUACACUGUUUAACGUUCCCGUCUUCCUCGGUGGUUUGAUUUAACGGUCUCACUUCCCCCCCGCUGCUCUCGCUCGCCCCCUAGUGUGAUAACCGGCACUCCGCUUGUUGUUGCGCGCAACCGCACCGCCGUCCUUCCCUGCACCCCCCUCGUCUCCCCCCUCUCUCUC
ensembl:lncRNA